rnacentral:lncRNA from 1 species
UGAGAACAGAAGCUCGUUACUUUUUGUUUCCCUAUAAUUUGGGCUGUAGAGCUCUAUCCAUUUAUUCAUUCGACCCAACUUUGAAUUCAAUUCAUUUUUUUGUUCCGCACCAAAAAUUCAAAAACGGUUUUUUUUUGGAAUGAUCCAGAAAAAAGGAUUCUUAGAAUUCUCCAUUGCUACGACAUGCUCUUUUUUCCAUCCACUCCUUUCAGGAUCAGUCGUGGUCCUACAAACUCUACCGAUGGUCUGAAUGAAUCCCUUUCUUCAUACAAAUGUGUAAAAGAUGCUAGUCGCACUUAAAAGCCGAGUACUCUAUCGUUGAGUUAGCAACCCGAAAAAAAUUAGAAUAUAUAGAUAUAAUCGGAAUAAAAAAUGGAAUUGCACUAGGCAAUCAAAACACGAAAUUAGCAAAAAUUGGAAUAAAAAAAAGACACGAAAUUCUCAGAUAAAACCAUAGAAAUAUAAAUAAAA